rnacentral:lncRNA from 1 species
CCUUUGCGAGCUUUGUUCCAGCACAAGCCAGGGGUCAUAUCAAAGGAUACCCCUUUGAUAUCAAAGCCCCCCCACCUAGCAGAAAACCCCCAGCUCCUUCCUUGGGAAAGGUGAAGACUGAGCACCAGGGCUGCUGGCUGUUCCUAGCCAGGCUUGCUGCCUGCCUCAGGAUUGACAGCGAUUAAACAGUCAUUAAACCCACACAAGCAGAGCGAAGGCCAAACAAAUCCCACCACCCAUGCAGAUGGGAGAGAAAACACAGCUGGAAACCCGAUCAGAACCUUUCAGGGAGGUGUACAGGCUUUCCUGCCAAGGCUGGACGGUUUUAGCUGGGAAUGCUGCCUCCCUUCCUCCCUCCCAGCUGCCCCGUUUCCGGCACAUGGCCGGCUCCACUCCCCCAUCCUCAGAGCCCUCCUGCGGCAUCAAACCCCCGUCUCCAGCCCAGGGCUUCUCCCUUCCCCUCACUGAAGCCCGGGUGGCUGUUGGCAGGGGCCAGCCCAGCUCGGAGCAGGCAAGCAGAGCACAUCCCGCAAAAGCAGCGCAGGAGAUCUUUGCGGAAGAGAUCGCAGGGAGAGCUGCGUGGGGACACACUCCCGAGCCGGCUGGCAUGGCAGCCCCCGGCCUCCAUCCCAGGCAGCUGCAAGGCGGCGGACACUCACCUUGACCAGAGAAGGAGAAGCCAAGAAAGCAGCCCCAGAGCAUGUCAGCACCCAGAAAUCCCCUGGCACCGAGCACAGGAAGGUUCCCUGCUGCAAGUGGGUCACAUCACCCGUAACACAGCCUGGGAGAGCCGAGCGCCAGCACAGGCACAGCGAGCAGCAAUUCAGAUCAAGACACAGCAAGGUGAAAACAGCUUCUGCAAGGUCAGAUGGAGAGGAAAACCUUUAGAAACUGUGCUGCUGGUUUUCCUUCCUCCCUCUCAGCAUACCCCAGAAUGAGUUAGCAGGGCUAAGAGCAGCCCUGGCUCCUGGCAAGCCCCAUGCAAGUCCUGCUCAGGGGGAACAUCAUCCUUAGGAAAGAACAUGAUGUGCCCUGUGCUUUCAGAGAAAAACAUUUAUUCCCAGACUUACUCGAUGUCCUGCAAGCCAGAGGGACAGGACAAUGGCAGGCUC